UACGUAGGGGGCGAGCGUUGUCCGGAUUCAUUGGGCGUAAAGAGCUCGUAGGCGGUUUGAUACGUCGGGUGUGAAAUCUCCAGGCUCAACCUGGAGAGGUCACUCGAGACUGUUAUGACUAGAGUCCGGUAGGGGACCACGGAAUUCCUGGUGUAGCGGUGAAAUGCGCAGAUAUCAGGAGGAACACCAGUGGCAAAGGCGGUGGUCUGGGCCGGAACUGACGCUGAGGAGCGAAAGCGUGGGGAGCAAACAGG
rnacentral:rRNA from 1 species